AAACCAAAGCUGGCGACCGGCGCACGGGUGAGUAACACGUAUCCAACCUGCCUCAUACUCGGGGAUAGCCUUUCGAAAGAAAGAUUAAUAUCCGAUAGCAUAUAUUUCCCGCAUGGGUUUUAUAUUAAAGAAAUUCGGUAUGAGAUGGGGAUGCGUUCCAUUAGGUUGUUGGCGGGGUAACGGGCCCACCAAGCCUUCGAUGGAUAGGGGUUCUGAGAGGAAGGUCCCCCACAUUGGAACUGAGACACGGUCCAAACUCCUACGGGAGGCAGCAUG
rnacentral:rRNA from 1 species